CCCUUAGAUGUUCUGGGCUGCACGCGUGCUACAAUGGCGCUUGCAACAAGUCUUGCCAACCCGAUAGGGUGAGCGGAUCUUUGAAGAGGCGUCGUGAUCGGGACAGUUGAUUGCAAUUAUUCGACUCGAACGAGGAAUUCCUUGUAAUCGCGAUUCAUCAUAUCGCGCUGAAUACGUCCCUGCCCUUUGUACACACCGCCCGUCGCUUCUACCGAUGAAUGAUCCGGUGAACACUCUGGACUUGUUGUCUGUCGGAGCAAUCCAAAGACGAUAGGGAAGUUGUGUAAACCUUAUCAUUUAGAGGAAGAAGAAGUCGUAACA
rnacentral:rRNA from 1 species